CACGUAGGGUGCGAGCGUUGUCCGGAAUUAUUGGGCGUAAAGAGCUCGUAGGCGGUGUGUCGCGUCGGCCGUGAAAACCUGCAGCUUAACUGUGGGCGUGCGGUCGAUACGGGCAUCACUGGAGUUCGGCAGGGGAGACUGGAAUUCUUGGUGUAGCGGUGAAAUGCGCAGAUAUCAGGAGGAACACCGGUGGCGAAGGCGGGUCUCUGGGCCGAUACUGACGCUGAGGAGCGAAAGCGUGGGGAGCGAACAGG
rnacentral:rRNA from 1 species